ACAGAGUAAACAUGAGUGCUGCUUUCUGUAAGAGGGAAAAACAACGAAGUUUCAUUUAGGAGAUGAAAGUUAAAAUGAGAGUUUUUAAAUGUGAGUGAAGUGAGUUUGAGCUUCUGAACUGGUUUGAAACUGUUCAUGUACAAGCGGCUCCACAGGUGAGGGUCACUUCAGCCUGGUGAACGUGGUGUUAGGGACAGGAGAAGAACUUUGUGGAGAACAAUCUGCUAAAAGUUUCCAUGUAAGGAAGAGGGUGAUGGAUGAGUUGGAUGGAGGAUUUUCUUUAAUCUGACCAUCACAGCUACACCACAGAACUGAGGGAAAGAUGGAAAACAUUCUGUUCUAAAGUUCAGUUCUUUGGAGUCAUGAAAAAUGUCAUGAGGUCACCAGUGACUCUGGAUGAAGUGCAACAGUCCACUGAGAUUUUGAACGGCCUUCCAGCACUCUUCCCAUCAGGAGUUGCACCACCACAGAAACUGGGACAGCCGAGUGAGGCUCUGUUUCAUAUUCUCAUGCCCUCUGAAAACGCUGCUGCUGUUCUUAGCAGAUGUCGUCUAUCAGCCCCCCUGCUUCUAACUGACCAGGAUAACUGCAUGAUCAGUGUUGGGAAGAACCCAGUGAGAACAUUCCCCAAAGACCUGCUGCACCAAGGUGUUCUGUACGUCAUGGUGUACUAUUAUGUGCUGCAAGUCAGGUCCAGAUUGAAGGACCCUUUUUAUUGUUAUUUUUUAUGUUUAAAGAUGGUAUAUGAAGACCAAGCAAUGUUGUUAAUGUUGUAUACAGAGGGACAUUGUUAUUGGAAAGCCUUGACAUCUAAGAUUUACGUGUUUUAAUAGAAUUUUCAGAAGCUGCCUGAACCUGCUUGUUGUGUAAAGCUGCCAUGAUGGCACACUUGUUAAAGUUAAUAAAAAUUUACACCAAAA